UCGCGAGUGCUACACUCGAGGAUAUGUCGGCGAAAGUUUCAAAUGGAAUUUUAUUUAUUCUCGCCAGUGUGUUGCCGGUAACAGUGGCGGCCAUGCAGAAUCAGAUGUGUGAGAUGAUGAGAGAAAUUGACCGAGAGAGAGAAGCGUGUGAAGCUCAAAUUGAGAACAGAACAACAGGUUGCAGUGGAACCUGGGAUAAGAUCACCUGUUGGCCCAGCGCAGACACUGGAGAAGUGGUUACCAUCCCUUGCCCUAAGUAUCUCUUCUACUUCUCUGGGCACAUUUUUUCACGCAACUUGUCAAAGACCUGCACCAAGGAUGGAUGGACCCCCUUCAGUAUAGAUUCCUACAUAAUGGACUGCGGAUACAAUCCCAACAGCACCUUCGAUGACAAUACAGGAGAAUUCUUCUUCGCUAUUAAAGUCGGUUACACCAUCGGUCACAGCGUGUCGCUCAUUUCACUUAGCGUCGCCAUCGUUACCCUCUGUCUCUUCAGGAAGCUGCACUGCACCAGAAACUACAUUCACAUUCAUCUGUUUGUGUCCCUCAUCCUUAAAGCGGUGGCUGUUUUCAUUAAGGAUGUGGUCCUGUACGACGUUGGUGAAACAGAAAAUUGCCAGGGAUCGGUGGGCUGUAAGGCAGUGGUGGUCUUCUUCCAGUACGGCAUCAUGGCCAGUUACUUCUGGCUUUUGGUAGAGGGCCUCUAUCUCUACACUCUUUUGGUUGUCUCCUUCUUCUCUGAGAAAAAGUACUUCUGGUGGUACAUCCUGAUUGGAUGGGGAGUUCCUACUAUCUUCAUCGCCGCCUGGGUGAUUACCAAGACCUUAUCAAAUGAUCCUGGAUGUUGGGAGACAAUUGACGACAGCUCGUGGUGGAUCGUCAAAACUCCUAUUUUAGCGACUAUACUUGUGAAUUUUUUCCUUUUCACUUUUAUCAUCCGGAUUUUGCUACAGAAGAUGAACAGUCCAGACAUUGGCAGAAAGGAAUCCAAUCAAUACUUAAGACUGGCUAAAUCCACGCUCUUGUUGAUACCUCUUUUUGGGAUCAACUACAUCAUUUUCGCCUUUAUUCCUGACCACAUACAUCCUCACAUCAGGAUGGUGUUCGACCUUAUCCUGGGGUCAUUUCAGGGCUUUGUUGUUGCGGUUUUGUACUGCUUUCUGAAUGGAGAGGUGCAGAUAGAAAUUAGGCGUAAAUGGCGCAGGUGGAUGCUGCAGAGAUUCCUGGGCACUGACUCUAAACACCAGCACCCCUCUACAGGCAGCAAUGGGAACAACUUGAGCACCCACAUAACUAUGCUGACCAAAAGCAGCCCUUCGAUGCAACGUACUUCUGCAUAUCAGGUGCAUUACUCUGCCAUCUGAAGCUCAACUUUAUGGACUUUUUCUAUUUAUUUUUUAUUUUUUCUUUAUUUACCAUAAAGGUGACGGGUGUUUGAAAGGUGUGACCAAAAGUCAACACGCUAUGGUUCUGAGGCAAAUGUUUGUUCAGUGUAAUUUGAUCCCCGCUGCCUGUCACAUAGCAUCAGGUACAAGGCAGGAAGAAAACCAUGAACUUAUCAGUACUAAGUCUGUUUGCUUAGUUUACCGAUGCUGCAAUAAACUAAGGGAGUUCUGUUAGCUUGACUGAUUUAAAAAAAAAGUUGCAAAUCAAAGACAAGCACCGAUGUAAAUCAACAUAAAAGAAAUGGUGGUCUUGGACCCCAGCAUGUUAUUAUGAAAAGGGUUUAAAAUACUGCAUUUACUGUAUUUUCCAGACUUUCCUGAGUCACCAGCCAAAAAUAUAUAUAUUAUAAAAAUAUAUAUUCAAAUACUAGGCUAUGGGCUGCAGAAUUUGUGGGCUGCUUCUGUGCAUCCUUAGACUCGCCCGCGAUUAUUUUUAUGUUUGGCCCAUAGAAUUUACAUUGGGAUAAUAUUUGUAUGAGGUCAUUGUUGCGAACUUCUUUUAAGACAAAAGUUAUUCAACCUAAAACGACUCUUUGGCUAUGCGUCUUUUUGUUUCAAACCAGUGGUUUGUGAAACAACUGGAAUACAGCAAAGUAAGAGGACAUAUCCAUAAAACUUCUACUAAAAGUUCAACAUCCCAUUGUACUGAUAUGUGUAUAAAGAUCUUUAAAAUGUCGAUACCAUAUUUUAAAUAUCACAAACAGCCAAUACAUGUAAAUAGAUUAUAGUGACUUGUUUGCAUUUGCACUGUUGUAGGUCAAUGUUUUGAACUCAACAUGUUUGCAGAUGAUGAUGAACUGUUGUGUUUUUUUUUUAUAAAUAUUUAUAGAUGAAAUUGACAUCUAGUCAAUAUAUAUUUAUUCAUAUCCACACAAAGAAAAACAAUCAAUAUAACAAACAGAUGUACAUGUCACAGGAUCUGGACAAACAGAAAUGUCUUCUGUUUCCUAUAGACCACGUGUCUAACUCAAGGCCCGGGGGCCAAAUGCGGCCCGCGAAGCCGAUUUGUGUGGCCCGCAGGAGCCUAAAAACCAUUUAGUAAAGUCCGUGCAGCAGAGUUACUUAACCUAAAAAAUUCAAAAAAAAAAAAA